CACUGGUACCUGUAAUUUUCUUCUUUAAAUUCUUUUUUGGUUCCCUGUUGUUUUAUGUAUUAAAUGCAUUUUUUUGAGGUAAUUCCCCUCUAAGCAUUCUCUCAGUCCCUGUUCCUUCAUCUCAAAGCUUUUAUUCAGUUAAAAUACUUAGAAUUUGUCCUAGCCAUUAAUUUUAAUUUUCAAACAGUAUUUUUUAAAGAUUAGCUAAAUUAAAUCAUUUUUGCAAUUAGUGUCAAAUUAAUCCAUAAUGGAAGGUGGAUAACAGCAGGAGAUAGAGUCUCUUAGAUUUUGACAGAUACCCUCAUUGGGUUUAAUGUUUUGUAUAAUAUCUCCUUAAGUGAGCAAAGAGCUUGCUUCGAUGACUUCCUUCCCUCACAUCUAUGCUGCUGUCCACAGAGAACUAAUAUCUUUGACUAUGGGGAAAACUCUCUUCUUACAUCUCUGGAUUCUGAGGGGGAGUAUUGUUAACACCGGUUAUCUUAGAAAACAUUUUUUGCCCUUUUCAGGCCUGAUCUCUGGCACUUAAUAGGUGAGCACUUGAUAGGUGAGGGUUGCUGAAGCUCCAUGGAUUGUAACAUACAAAGAUUACCACAAAAAAAAAAAACAAACCAACCAAAAAACUUAAUUUCAUAGAGAUAGGUGAAAAAGCAGCCAAAUAAUCAUUAACUAGUGGAAAUCAAGGAAUAGUGAUCUUCAGUAGGCAGACUAAUGGAGAGAAGGAGGCUGGAAAUGGGAUAAUGAGACCAGUCAUCUCAGGAAUAGGGUCUGGAUCAACAAGAGCUGGGUCUGAACAUACCUCACUAUCUUAGGACUUUGUCACUGAGACUGAAUCAAAUAAAAGGAAGCAAACACACUGGUACUUACCAGUGGCUCAUUUGAGUGUUUGGCUCUAGACACAUCUGUGCCCAAAGUGCUUUAAUUUGCUGUACCUGAUUCUAGGCAGGCCUUCAGCUCUGACCUAGGAUUGAACUCUGUGUGACUUUCUCUGAUGAUUAAAUGCUUACUCCUGUCUGCUCAGGCUCCUCAGACACUUUCAUUUUCUCAGACAAUUUUCUUUUUUUUUUUUAAAUAAGCAGGGACAUGUGUGUAAUGGUUCAUUUAUUCUGGCAUCAGGUGGCAUCACUUGAUUAAAUGAUUGGUUUACGCCAAAACUUCUUUUUGUACCUUAUCUGGCCUACCUGACUUCAGUGACUGUUUUGUUUAAAGCAGUAGUGUGUUAAGAAUUACUGAGCUUCAGGAAUAGAUGAAGAAUUUCAUAAAAAAAUCUCUGAAGUUUGAGAAGACAACCUGUUCUCUCACAGACCUACUGUGGAUCUCAAGUUCAACAGAAAUAGGGAAGAUAAAAAAUGGAGAUAUAAGCACAGCAUUUUGCAGUCAGUGGUCACAUACAAAAUUAAAUCAGUCCUAUUUUUGGCUACAAUACUAGCAAGGAGAUUUUUCCUGUGAAAGCAGAACUGAAAAGCCUUUGCAUCACUGCUACUGACUGUAGAACAGUGGAAGUUUAGUUUGCUUAAAAACUGCUCAGAAUAUAAGAACACCAGAAUGCUCUGGUCAGUACUAAUAAUACGGCUACAUUAUUUUGACCCCUCAAUUAUAUCAUCAACCUUGCUGUGUUUUUAAGUUUGCAACUUCCAAAGCUGUGUGAUUAAGCAGGAGUUUGUGCUUUAAUUAAAAUAAUAUUACUCUUUAGGAUUCCAGUAAAAAUCUGGAAAGUAGGAUUCUUCAGAGACUUCAAAUUCAGAGGGAAAUGUUUCAUAUAGACUUCAUUAAUUUUUAAGAUCUUAUUAUUUCUAAAUCUACUUCAUAUUUCUUUAGCAUCCAACUGAUGAGAUUUGAUCACUGAGGAUAAGCAAAAAAUACUGCUUUAAGUAGAAAGGCAAUCUCUAGAAUAUGGAAUACCUGUGAAGAGAAUACUAUGUGCAAACUGAAACCCCAAAAGAUAAGGCAGCUUCCUGUACGAGAUGAGAUUUAGGUCACCAAAGAUAUUCCUAGUACUUGUCAUCCUUGUAUCAAUUAAAUGAAUGGACUUGUUCCAAAACUUUAUUCCACCUCUUUAAAAUUAUGUGUAUGCUGCAAGAACGAUUUUUUUAAGCUGUCUAUUGCUACAAGAGAAGCUGUAACUAAAGGAAGCUAUCAUUGCACUGCAGAAUGGAUCAUUUAUAACACACAAAAAUGGCCCGUUAUUUACAGUUCUUAUUAAAAAAAAAGUGAACGUGGAAUGCAUUCAGAUUUCAGCAGUUGCAAUACUGUUAACUUGCCUUCUAUCAUUAUGAAGGCAUAUAAAGAGAUACAGCUACUCCUAAGGAACAUUUCUUUUAGGUCUUGUCCUUUAUAAAUGUUGCCACUAUAAUUUUUGCUUGGAAAGUUGGGUUUAAACAAAUUCAAAAUGAAACUGGACCAAAAUUAAAUCUCAGCUGUUUUCAGCAAGAACCAUGAACCUGGCUUUUAUGGCUUUAAUUUGGAGGCUCUCUGUGAGAUUUGUACUCUUGCAAACAUUUUAGUAAAGGUAAGGGGAGAAAGCCAAUGGAUAGUGAGGUAUC